rnacentral:misc_RNA from 1 species
UCCUCCAAACGCGCCGGAGGAUUGGCAGCCAUCGCUUAGCGAGCACAUUCGGCACGGACAGAUUGCAAUAGCGUUUGAGAAUCGUCACGCCGAAGCUGCGAAGGCAGCGGCCCAACAAAGCCUAANNNNNNNNCGACAGGCGAUACACCGCAAGUCAGCUAGAGCAGAUCAAGAUUUGGCGCCAGGGCCUUAGGGACCUGCGGAAAGCAGCCAAAUCUGGAGCCCAGCCAUG